rnacentral:rRNA from 1 species
UACAGAGGUGGCAAGCGUUGUUCGGAAUUACUGGGCGUAAAGGGCGCGUAGGCGGCCUUGUAAGUCCCGUGUGAAAUCCCUCGGCUCAACUGAGGAACUGCACGGGAAACUGCUUGGCUUGAGUUCGGGAGAGGGAAGCGGAAUUCCGGGUGUAGCGGUGAAAUGCGUAGAUAUCCGGAGGAACACCGGUGGCGAAGGCGGCUUCCUGGACCGACACUGACGCUGAGGCGCGAAAGCGUGGGUAGCAAACGGG